CCGAAUAUAGCUCAGCGGUAGAGCGGGAGACUGUAGUAAAUUUGUUAUCUCUAGGUCCCUGGUUCAAAUCCGGGUGUUCGGA
rnacentral:tRNA from 1 species